CUACGUAGGUGGCGAGCGUUGUCCGGAAUUACUGGGCGUAAAGGAUGCGUAGGUGGGUAUUUAAGUGGGAUGUGAAAUCCCCGGGCUCAACCCGGGAACUGCAUUCCAAACUGGGUAUCUAGAGUGCAGGAGAGGAAAGCGGAAUUCCUAGUGUAGCGGUGAAAUGCGUAGAUAUUAGGAGGAACACCAGUGGCGAAGGCGGCUUUCUGGACUGUAACUGACACUGAGGCAUGAAAGCGUGGGUAGCAAACAGGAUUAGAUACCCUGGUAGUCCACGCCGUAAACGAGGGGUACUAGGUGUAGGAGGUAUCGACCCCUUCUGUGCCGUCGUUAACACAAUAAGUACCCCGCCUGGGGAGUACGGUCGCAAGACUAAAACUCAAAUGAAUUGACGGGG
rnacentral:rRNA from 1 species